GACGAACGCUGGCGGCGUGCCUAAUACAUGCAAGUCGAACGAAGCUGUUUUAACUGGUGCUUGCACCGACUUAAACAACUGAGUGGCGAAUGGGUGAGUAACACGUGGGUAACCUGCCCCAAAGCGGGGGAUAACAUUUGGAAACAGAUGCUAAUACCGCAUAACCACAGAAACCACAUGGUUUCUGUGUCAAAGAUGGUUUCGGCUAUCACUUUGGCAUGGACCCGCGGCGUAUUAGCUAGUUGGUAAGGUAAUGGCUUACCAAGGCAAUGAUACGUAGCCGAACUGAGAGGUUGAUCGGCCACAUUGGGACUGAGACACGGCCCAAACUCCUACGGGAGGCAGCAGUAGGGAAUCUUCCACAAUGGACGAAAGUCUGAUGGAGCAACGCCGCGUGAGUGAAGAAGGUUUUCGGAUCGUAAAACUCUGUUGUCAGAGAAGAACGUGUGCGAGAGUAACUGCUCGUGCAGUGACGGUAUCUGGCCAGAAAGCCACGGCUAACUACGUGCCAGCCGCCGCGGUAA
rnacentral:rRNA from 1 species